rnacentral:rRNA from 1 species
GACGAACGCUGGCGGCGUGCUUAACACAUGCAAGUCGAACGGAAAGGCCCUGCUUUUGUGGGGUGCUCGAGUGGCGAACGGGUGAGUAACACGUGAGUAACCUGCCCUUGACUUUGGGAUAACUUCAGGAAACUGGGGCUAAUACCGGAUAGGAGCUCCUGCUGCAUGGUGGGGGUUGGAAAGUUUCGGCGGUUGGGGAUGGACUCGCGGCUUAUCAGCUUGUUGGUGGGGUAGUGGCUUACCAAGGCUUUGACGGGUAGCCGGCCUGAGAGGGUGACCGGCCACAUUGGGACUGGGAUACGGCCCAGACUCCUACGGGAGGCAGCAGUGGGGAAUAUUGCCCAGUGGGCGGAAGCCUGAUGCAGCAACGCCGCGUGCGGGAUGACGGCCUUCGGGUUGUAAACCGCUUUCGCCUGUGACGAAGCGUGAGUGACGGUAAUGGGUAAAGAAGCACCGGCUAACUACGUG